rnacentral:snRNA from 1 species
AGCUUUGCUCAGUGGCAGUAUUGUAGCCAGUGAGGUUUAUCCGAAGUACAAUUAUUGUUAAUUGU